GUACACUCCUACGGGAGGCAGCAGUGGGGAAUAUUGCACAAUGGGCGCAAGCCUGAUGCAGCCAUGCCGCGUGUGUGAAGAAGGCCUUCGGGUUGUAAAGCACUUUCAGCGGGGAGGAAGGCGAUACGGUUAAUAACCGUGUUGAUUGACGUUACCCGCAGAAGAAGCACCGGCUAACUCCGUGCCAGCAGCCGCGGUAAUACGGAGGGUGCAAGCGUUAAUCGGAAUUACUGGGCGUAAAGCGCACGCAGGCGGUCUGUCAAGUCGGAUGUGAAAUCCCCGGGCUCAACCUGGGAACUGCAUUCGAAACUGGCAGGCUUGAGUCUUGUAGAGGGGGGUAGAAUUCCAGGUGUAGCGGUGAAAUGCGUAGAGAUCUGGAGGAAUACCGGUGGCGAAGGCGGCCCCCUGGACAAAGACUGACGCUCAGGUGCGAAAGCGUGGGGAGCAAACAGGAUUAGAAACCCUUGUAGUCCCAUGA
rnacentral:rRNA from 1 species